AAUAUUGGACACUGGGGGCAACCCUGAUCCAGCCAUGCCGCGCGUGUGAAGAAGGUCUUCGGAUUUUAAAGCACUCUGAGUUGGGAGGAAGGGCUUUAGGUUAAUACCCUGAAGUUUUGACGUUACCAACAGAAGAAGCACCGGCUAAUUCUGUGCCAGCAGCCGCGGUAAUACCGAGGGUGCAAGCGUUAAUCGGAAUUACUGGGCGUAAAGAGCGCGUAGGUGGUUCAGUAAGAUGGGUGUGAAAUCACCGGGCUUAACCUGGGAACUGCUUGCAUAACUGCUGAGCUAGAGUACGGUAGAGGGUAGUGGAAUUUCCUGUGUAGCGGUGAAAUGCGUAGAUAUAGGAAGGAACACCAGUGGCGAAGGCGACUACCUGGACUGAUACUGACACUGAGGUGCGAAAGCGUGGGGAGCAAAC
rnacentral:rRNA from 1 species